ACUUUAAGUUGGGAGGAAGGGCAGUUUCCUUAAUACGAAAUUGUUUUGACGUUACCGACAGAAUAAGCACCGGCUAACUCUGUGC
rnacentral:rRNA from 1 species